rnacentral:rRNA from 1 species
CAGCAGUGAGGAAGGCGGGUACGUUAAUAGCGUAUUCGUUUGACGUUAGCUGCAGAAGAAGCACCGGCUAACUCCGUGCCAGCAGCCGCGGUAAUACGGAGGGUGCGAGCGUUAAUCGGAAUUACUGGGCGUAAAGCGCAUGCAGGUGGUUCGUUAAGUCAGAUGUGAAAGCCCGGGGCUCAACCUCGGAACUGCAUUUGAAACUGGCGGACUAGAGUACUGUAGAGGGGGGUAGAAUUUCAGGUGUAGCGGUGAAAUGCGUAGAGAUCUGAAGGAAUACCGGUGGCGAAGGCGGCCCCCUGGACAGAUACUGACACUCAGAUGCGAAAGCGUGGGGAGCAAACAGGAUUAGAUACCCUGGUAGUCCACGCCGUAAACGAUGUCUACUUGGAGGUUGUGGCCUUGAGCCGUGGCUUUCGGAGCUAACGCGUUAAGUAGACCGCCUGGGGAGUACGGUCGCAAGAUUAAAACUCAAAUGAAUUGACGGGGGCCCGCACAAGCGGUGGAGCAUGUGGUUUAAUUCGAUGCAACGCGAAGAACCUUACCUACUCUUGACAUCCAGAGAAGCCAGCGGAGACGCAGGUGUGCCUUCGGGAGCUCUGAGACAGGUGCUGCAUGGCUGUCGUCAGCUCGUGUUGUGAAAUGUUGGGUUAAGUCCCGCGACGAGCGCAACCCUUAUCCUUGUUUGUCAGCGAGUAAUGUCGGGAACU